UACGUAGGGGGCGAGCGUUGUCCGGAUUUAUUGGGCGUAAAGAGCGUGUAGGCGGCCAGGUAGGUCUGCUGUGAAAACUCAGGGCUUAACCCUGAGCUUGCAGUGGGUACGGGCAGACUAGAGUGCGGUAGGGGAGACUGGAAUUCCUGGUGUAGCGGUGGAAUGCGCAGAUAUCAGGAGGAACACCGGUGGCGAAGGCGGGGUCCUGGGCCAUUACUGACGCUGAGGAGCGAAAGCGUGGGGAGCGAACAGG
rnacentral:rRNA from 1 species